rnacentral:misc_RNA from 1 species
AGAAAAUUUGCAAUACAAGCUUUGAGAAUUUUGGUGAGCCUUCUGGUGAGUUGCAGUUCUUAAGAAGCUUGCAUUUGACAGCAAGGAAACUGGAAAUCUGUGAAAGUUCCCCAAAAGAGAUUUUCUAAGUGUACCAACUAGACUAACUUUAUUUGGUCAAUUUCGCCAUUAAUGUAAUACUAACAUUUAUGAGAUGUGUCAGUUGGGAAUAUACAGCCAAAGGUUUUUGUUUAUUUAUUUUCUUAUCAUUUGGCUUUUGCAGUGUGGCGGUUCAGUUCUCUAAUUCAUGAGUCUCUUCCUCCG